AUUUGAAAUCUGGCUCCCUUGGGGGUCCGAGUUGUAAUUUGUAGAGGGUGCUUUGGUAUUAGCUGUGGUCUAAGACCCUUGGAACAGGGCGUCACAGAGGGUGAGAAUCCCGUAUGUGGCCAGCAGCUCUUGCCUUGUAAAGCCCCUUCGACGAGUCGAGUUGUUUGGGAAUGCAGCUCUAAAUGGGAGGUAAAUUUCUUCUAAAGCUAAAUACUGGCCAGAGACCGAUAGCGCACAAGUAGAGUGAUCGAAAGAUGAAAAGCACUUUGGAAAGAGAGUCAAAAAGCACGUGAAAUUGUUGAAAGGGAAGCGCUUGCAGCCAGACUUGCCCGUAGUUGUUCAUCUAGGCUUCUGCCUGGUGCACUCUUCUGCGGGCAGGCCAGCAUCAGUCCAGGCGGUCGGAUAAAGGCCUUGGGAAUGUGGCUCCUUUCGGGGAGUGUUAUAGCCCAGGGUGCCAUGCGGCCAGCCUGAACUGAGGUCCGCGCUUCUGCUAGGAUGCUGGCGUAAUGGCUGUAAGCGGCCCGUCUUGAAACACGGACCAAGGAGUCUAACAUCUAUGCGAGUGUUUGGGUGUCAAGCCCGAGCGCGCAAUGAAAGUGAACGGAGGUGGGAACCCCUCGGGGUGCACCAUCGACCGAUCCUGAUGUCUUCGGAUGGAUUUGAGUAAGAGCAUAGCUGUUGGGACCCGAAAGAUGGUGAACUAUGCCUGAAUAGGGUGAAGCCAGAGGAAACUCUGGUGGAGGCUCGCAGCGGUUCUGACGUGCAAAUCGAUCGUCAAAUUUGGGCAUAGGGGCGAAAGACUAAUCGAACUAUCUAGUAGCUGGUUCCUGCCGAAGUUCCCUC
rnacentral:rRNA from 1 species